UACGAAGGGGGCUAGCGUUGUUCGGAAUCACUGGGCGUAAGGCGCACGUAGGCGGAUCUUUAAGUCAGAGGUGAAAUCCCAAGGCUCAACCUUGGAACUGCCUUUGAUACUGGGGAUCUUGAGUCCGGGAGAGGUGAGUGGAACUGCGAGUGUAGAGGUGAAAUUCGUAGAUAUUCGCAAGAACACCAGUGGCGAAGGCGGCUCACUGGCCCGGUACUGACGCUGAGGUGCGAAAGGCGUGGGGGAGCAAACAGG
rnacentral:rRNA from 1 species